rnacentral:rRNA from 1 species
UACGUAGGGUGCAAGCGUUAUCCGGAAUUAUUGGGCGUAAAGAGCUCGUAGGCGGUUUGUCGCGUCUGCUGUGAAAACCGGAGGCUCAACCUCCGGCCUGCAGUGGGUACGGGCAAACUAGAGUGCGGUAGGGGAGACUGGAAUUCCUGGUGUAGCGGUGGAAUGCGCAGAUAUCAGGAGGAACACCGAUGGCGAAGGCAGGUCUCUGGGCCAUUACUGACACUGAGAAGCGAAAGCAUGGGGAGCGAACAGG